rnacentral:miRNA from 1 species
UAAUCAUCAUCAUGAUGAUGAUGAUGAUGAUGAUGGUAAUAAUUGCUAUAUUAUUACUAUCAUUAGCAUUAUCGUCGUUUGCGACA